CAGUCGCCGCGGUAAUACGUAGGUCCCGAGCGUUGUCCGGAUUUAUUGGGCGUAAAGGGAGCGCAGGCGGUUUAGUAAGUCUGAAGUUAAAGGCAUUGGCUCAACCAAUGUAUGCUUUGGAAACUGUUAGACUUGAGUGCAGAAGGGGAGAGUGGAAUUCCAUGUGUAGCGGUGAAAUGCGUAGAUAUAUGGAGGAACACCGGUGGCGAAAGCGGCUCUCUGGUCUGUCACUGACGCUGAGGCUCGAAAGCGCGGGUAGCGAACAGGAUUAGAUACCCCCGUAGUCCCUGUCUCUUAUACA
rnacentral:rRNA from 1 species